rnacentral:rRNA from 1 species
CUACGCACUCCUACGGGAGGCAGCAGUGGGGAAUAUUGCACAAUGGGCGCAAGCCUGAUGCAGCCAUGCCGCGUGUAUGAAGAAGGCCUUCGGGUUGUAAAGUACUUUCAGCAGUGAGGAAGGUGGGUAUGUUAAUAGCAUAUUCAUUUGACGUUAGCUGCAGAAGAAGCACCGGCUAACUCCGUGCCAGCAGCCGCGGUAAUACGGAGGGUGCGAGCGUUAAUCGGAAUUACUGGGCGUAAAGCGCAUGCAGGUGGUUUGUUAAGUCAGAUGUGAAAGCCCGGGGCUCAACCUCGGAAUUGCAUUUGAAACUGGCAAACUAGAGUACUGUAGAGGGGGUAGAAUUUCAGGUGUAGCGGUGAAAUGCGUAGAGAUCUGAAGGAAUACCGGUGGCGAAGGCGGCCCCCUGGACUGAUACUGACACUCAGAUGCGAAAGCGUGGGGAGCAAACAGGAUUAGAUACCCUGGUAG